ACCAGUGUGGUAUAGUGGUUUUGAGUAUUGAAUUAUUACUCUGAAGACCAGGGUUCGAUUCCCAGCUCAGCCA